rnacentral:hammerhead_ribozyme from 1 species
AUCCAGUUGACGAGUCCUAAAUAGGACGAAACGUGCAUCCCGGAU